rnacentral:rRNA from 1 species
GAUGAACGCUGGCGGCGUGCCUAAUACAUGCAAGUCGAGCGAACGGACGAGAAGCUUGCUUCUCUGAUGUUAGCGGCGGACGGGUGAGUAACACGUGGAUAACCUACCUAUAAGACAGGGGUAACUUCGGGAAACCGGAGCUAAUACCGGAUAAUAUUUUGAACCGCAUGGUUCAAAAGUGAAAGACGGUCUUGCUGUCACUUAUAGAUGGAUCCGCGCUGCAUUAGCUAGUUGGUAAGGUAACGGCUUACCAAGGCAACGAUGCAUAGCCGACCUGAGAGGGUGAUCGGCCACACUGGAACUGAGACACGGUCCAGACUCCUACGGGAGGCAGCAGUAGGGAAUCUUCCGCAAUGGGCGAAAGCCUGACGGAGCAACGCCGCGUGAGUGAUGAAGGUCUUCGGAUCGUAAAACUCUGUUAUUAGGGAAGAACAUAUGUGUAAGUAACUGUGCACAUCUUGACGGUACCUAAUCAGAAAGCCACGGCUAACUACGUG